AGCCGUCAGCCAAGGAGCAGCGCAUCAGUAAGCUGAAUAACAAACCUCCAAAACCUAGCUUUUUUCUGCUCAAGAGUUCUAGAAGAAUGUGAAGCCUGCACCACCCAACUAACUGCAGUGUGAAUCUUUGUAAAUCAGCACUGAGGCUGAGAAAUGGAAGUCAGCAGGUGUAGCUAAGCCUUGUGAAAGGCUUCAGAGCAAAUACUUUCCAGAAGAUUGGAAAUGGUUUUGAGGUCUGAUGCCUCUACUGGCAAUCUUUGAAAGAGCCUGCAAGAAUGUGGUUCAAACGAUAGAGUCAGCCCCAAGUACUUCAGUUGCCUUGCACUGAGGAGCUGAUAAUGACAGCUAUUGGACACACUGUUGGGCUGGAUAAAACUCAGGCAAAUUGUGUCCCUGUCCAUGUCUUGAACAGCUUCUGAAUCCUGAGGCUGUCUGUAUUCUCCAGAAGAGCUCAAUACAGAGAAGUCACUUUCAUCAUCUUGAUUUGUGCAGCAUUUCCCCAGUAGAGGUGCAGAUCUUUGUCCAAUAACAACAGCUUGCAAAAAUUACUUUUUAUGGAAGCUCUAGAAAUAAUCAACAGCUCUCCAUAGUCCGAGGCCAUAGGCAGGAGAAGGAAGGACCAGUGCACUGCUACACUUUAUCUUGAUUUGCUUUUAUUUUGUACAUGGCUCCAAAGCAUAUCCUUGAGUUUUUCCAGUCAUUUUGUCUCUGACAGCUACUCCAAAACCAGCAAAUAUGCCUAGCAAGCAUCAAAUGCCCUGAAAACCAAUGAGUUUUAUCUUCAACCCAGAUCUGGAGCAACAGUAGUGAAAAAAUGCUGAUUUUCUAGAUUUGAUCAGGUGUGUGGCAGACUACUUUGCCCAGUAUGGCUGAUAAGACACCUUGAUGACUUCACACCCAGGAAGAGCAGCAACAACAGGUUUGGAUGACAGCAAGUAAUUUUUGCUCGGCACUUAGCCACAUAGAUACUAGCCAGCAUUAAUCAUCUGGAGCACACAGCCUCACGGAGCUUCAGAGGAGAGGUGUCAAUGCUCCUUAUGCUUCAGAGGUCCCUCAGCAGCAUCCUCUAAGAAAACAGGGUGAAACGAGUAGUUUAAUUCUUGGUCAAUAAGCGUGUUGCUACUGAAGAGGAGAUUUAUUCCAACCUUGAAUCUGCUCUUUUCAUUUUCUGUCUCUCAGCCAACAGUAUCAAUCACCUUACUGGGGUCUGCCCUUGCUAUACUGGUGAGGGACUUUUUCCCAGCAUUCAGUUAAAGCCCAUUGUUCCCUGGGAGCGCUGGCCUGCCGGACUUCAUCACUCCGAUCACUAUCAGUCCUUGCUGGACGCUGCAUUCCUUUGGGAUAAAGCUUUAGAAGAGCUUUUGUGUGAGCCAUCAAUGAGGCAAACAGCUCUGACAGCCCCUAGAGCUGGGCUUCCUUUGGCCUCAUCCAGAGCUUGGCGUCACUCAGCCUAAUCCAGACGCGUUUUAGUGAGGCGGUGACUGCUUUCCUUUUUACUAGUUCGUGAGGACAUUCUGCAGCUUCUUUUUUUUUUGUUAAUUCUUGCAAAAGCUCUCGUGGGUAGAAUCAAGCACAGGAGCCUGAGCUUAAUCUUUAAAUGGGGUAUGGAGUUUUUCUGGUAUUUAUGUAUUUUAAACACAGUUUUAACUCUCUGCCAGGAGUGGACCACCACACUGGGGACAGUGGGUCCAAAGCAGUGACUGGGCUGAGUGGGGUAAGGCUUGCCUUGCCAGGAGGAUGUGGACCUCAUAGCAGCAGACACAGGGGAGGUGGGAGACUUCUGGAGGAGCGGUGGGGAGGGUCAGGUGGAUGGUCCCAUGUCCCCCAGCACUGUAUCCAUGGGGAAUGUCCGCAAGGGAAAAUGGGUUUGUGCCAGUUGGGGUUCAGUGCCCAGUGGAAAGUGGAGCUCAGGUUUCAUGGAGUGCUUCUGGUGCAGGGCACAGCGUGCAGCUCUUCUGUUGACCUGCAGCAGCCAAAGUGCUCCCCAGUGCAGCUGUACUGGGGGUUAGCAGUAAAUGCACUUGCAUUGCAUUAAAAUUACUUUGUCAAAUGUA